UUAACUGCCAACAUGACGACAUGAAUGAAGCUGGAGGUGGGGGUGGAGGUGGCUGAGGCUCGGCUCUGGUGUGGUGCGUCGUUUGAGUAAUUGAGUAAACAAUGCCGGCACGGUAUAUAUACAUACCUGCUUGACAGAGGGAGCGAGAGAGAGAGAGAGAGAGUGGUGAGAGUGGUUAGGGGCCAAGAGUCAAGAGGGCAGCAAUCACUGGCAGCAGCCCAACGUUGCAAACUUUAUAUACAGUCAAGUGAUUAGCAACAAACUUGCGCAGCAAAAUCAACGCAGUACCGGAAGGGGACUGGGAGACUGGGAGACCGGCACUGCCACUGCCACUGCGACUGCCACUGGGAUUGGCACUGGGAUUGGGACUAGGAUCAGGACUAGCAGUAACAGCAGCGGAGAGCCUCUCAAAGGCAAACAAGCGGCAACUGGCAACUACCCCGAGCUGUUGUCGAUGCACGGGCCACAGGGGCGACCUCAUCGAUAUGCAACGCACAUGCAACGACGGUCUGGAUUGGCCUUUUCGUGGCAAUGCCACUCACCCGCACCCGCACCUCACCCACUUACCUCAAGGCACACAGGACACUCCAGUAAUUGGGAAAUAUGUUGAAGGCAUGUUGCAAACUUUUGCAGCGAUUGUUGAUUAAUUCCAUGCUGCUGCAAAGACACAAAGCGAGGGGAAAACUUUGGUUAAUUUUAGUGUUUUGGCUUCAAGGUUGAGAGAAUUGCAAUCAAAUGAGUCCGAGGAAUGCCUUUAAUGGUAUUGAAUGCAUCCAUUUGGACGGAUUUGCAUGCAAUUAUCAAAACGAGCAAAGCACUGCAUUAUUGUGAUUCAAUAAAAUGAUUAUACUGCCACCGACAGGAUGCAUGUUACAUCCGAGAGAUACAUACAUCCAUCCAUGGUCGAGUUUAAUCUGUUUAACGGACACACAGACACACGGAGACUCGAUUUGAUGCAGAUGCAUAGCCUUCAGCCUUGAUUGAAAUGGACGUUCCACGUGCACCAGGUAUGCCAGAAAUGUGUCUGUGUGGCAGCAAUUUUCGACUGUCCGACAGGGUCCACCCCUUUGAGGACAUUUGGGUCAAUUGAAUUGUAAUAAAGUACACAUGAUGUGUCAAGAACAAAAUU